rnacentral:rRNA from 1 species
CGCCUGUUUAUCAAAAACAUGUCCUUUUGUUUAAAUAUAAGGUCUAACCUGCCCAAUGAUUAAUAUUAAAUGGCCGCGGUAUUUUAACUGUGCUAAGGUAGCAUAAUCAUUUGUCUUUUAAUUAAAGGCUAGAAUGAAUGGUUGGACGAAGUAUUAACUUUCUUUAAUUUAUUUUUGUAGAAUUUAAUUUUUUAGUUAAAAAGCUAAAAUAUAUUUGAGGGACGAGAAGACCCUGUAGAUCUUUAUAUAUUUAUAUAUUAUGUAUUUUUGUGAAUUUAAUUGCUGUUAAUAUAUGAAUAUAUUUGGUUGGGGCGACUGUGGAAUUUAAAUAACUUCUAUUUGUAUAUUUCAUUAAUGCUUGUAUUGUUGAUCCAAUAAUAUUGAUUAUAAUAUUAAGUUACCUCAGGGAUAACAGCGUAAUUUCUUUGGAGAGCUCUUAUCGAUAAAGAAGUUUGCGACCUCGAUGUUGGAUUAAAAUAAGUAGUGGGUGCAGAAGUUCACUAACUAGGUCUGUUCGACCUUUAAUUUUUUACAUGAUCUGAGUUCAAACCGGAG